CGACUUUUAGUUUGCCUUCCCGAAACUAAGUGAGCUACUUUAAAGCAGCUAUUAGAGCUAACCCGUCUCUGUCGCAAAAGAGUGGGGUGACUUUAAAGUAGAGGUGAUAGACCUACCGAACUUAGAGAUAGCUGGUUUUUUAAGAAAAGAAUUUUAGUUCAGCCCCAAGCCUUUCGUUAAGCAAAAAACCUUCUUAGGCCUGGGAGUCAUUCAUAUAGGGCACAGCCUAUUUGAAACAGGAUACAACCUAGAAUAUAGGGUAAAACAAUGUGAUUUUUCUAUAAGUGGGCUUGAAAGCAGCCACCUUUCAAAAAGCGUUGUAGCUUAUUGAUACUGAUUAUUUAAUAACCUCAAAAAUGUUUAACCCACACACACUAUUAAACUAUCCCAUAAAUUUAUGGGAGCUAUCAUGCUAGAACAAGUAACAAGAAAAAGAUUUUUCUCCAAAAUACAAGCUUUAGCCGCUACAGACAAACUACCGGCAAUUAACGCCUUUUAACUAAUUUAGUAACUCUAACAAGAAAACCCU
rnacentral:rRNA from 1 species